UUUUUGUUUUUUUGCCAGUUUGAGGGGCAAAACGUUUCUCAUACCUUUCUUCAUUGCAACCGUUUUUAGUAAAAGAUGAUAAUAAUUAAAGUCUGAGUUAAUAGGAUUACUGUGGUGCUUUUGUUGUCUUUAGAGCUUGAUAGUUACUGACUGCUGUCUGUUGUUCAAAAGGAAAACAGUUUUGCAAAGAAGAAAGAAUAUCAUACGGUUUAGAAAUAAAGUGUGGGUGUCUUUU